rnacentral:lncRNA from 1 species
AUGCAUUUUAUUUUAUCUUUUUGCAUUUAAUAUUUGUUUGACCUUUGUUGACUUUUGUUGGUCUUGGAUCUUAGUUGAUUUGAUCAUAGGUCUCAUCAAACUCAAUGGAUCUUGGAUGUUGGUGGAGUGAAAACCAUAAUCCAUCAAAAUGGAUUAUUGAUUUUGAUGAUGACUUGAUCAAGCCUUUGAUCCAAUUUGGGUGUGAUUUC